rnacentral:rRNA from 1 species
AAGCUGACGAGUGGCGAACGGGUGAGUAAUGUAUCGGAACGUGCCCAGUCGUGGGGGAUAACUGCUCGAAAGAGCAGCUAAUACCGCAUACGACCUGAGGGUGAAAGCGGGGGAUCGCAAGACCUCGCGCGAUUGGAGCGGCCGAUAUCAGAUUAGGUAGUUGGUGGGGUAAAGGCUCACCAAGCCAACGAUCUGUAGCUGGUCUGAGAGGACGACCAGCCACACUGGGACUGAGACACGGCCCAGACUCCUACGGGAGGCAGCAGUGGGGAAUUUUGGACAAUGGGCGCAAGCCUGAUCCAGCCAUGCCGCGUGCGGGAAGAAGGCCUUCGAGUUGUAAACCGCUUUUGUCAGGGAAGAAAAGGUUCUGGCUAAUACCUGGGACUCAUGACGGUACCUGAAGAAUAAGCACCGGCUAACUACGUGCCAGCAGCCGCGGUAAUACGUAGGGUGCAAGCGUUAAUCGGAAUUACUGGGCGUAAAGCGUGCGCAGGCGGUUAUGCAAGACAGAGGUGAAAUCCCCGGGCUCAACCUGGGAACUGCCUUUGUGACUGCAUAGCUAGAGUGCGGCAGAGGGGGAUGGAAUUCCGCGUGUAGCAGUGAAAUGCGUAGAUAUGCGGAGGAACACCGAUGGCGAAG